rnacentral:lncRNA from 1 species
GUUGAAAUAUUCAAAGCAUUACGGUUUGCCUUCCUCCAGCUAAACAAUGCAUUAGCCGUAUUUGGUACAACUUUUUGAAAUUUGUGGUUAUCAAUGCGAUUCAACUUUGUAUUUGAAUUGGUUUUCCAGCUGUUUUAAAAUUACUUUUGAGAUCAACCGAUGAGUUUGAUGCAGACAAAAUUAGCGUACCAAAUUAUAAGC